UACGUAGGGGGCUAGCGUUGUCCGGAAUCACUGGGCGUAAAGGGCGCGUAGGUGGCCUGUGGAAGUCUGCGGUGAAAGCCCGGCGCUCAACGCCGGGUCGGCCGUGGAUACUCUCGGGCUUGAGCUUACUAGAGGCAGAUGGAAUUCCGGGUGUAGCGGUGGAAUGCGUAGAGAUCCGGAAGAACACCGGUGGCGAAGGCGGUCUGCUGGGCCGUUGCUGACGCUGAGGCGCGACAGCGUGGGGAGCAAACAGG
rnacentral:rRNA from 1 species